rnacentral:piRNA from 1 species
GAACGUGGAGUGAGGACCCAGUCU